AUUGUCUUUCCUACAGGCCCCUUCAAGCCCUGUGAGCACCUGUUUGAGAGCUGGGGCAUCCGCCUUGCUGUGUGGGCCAUCACGCUGCUCUCCAUGCUCUGUAACGGGCUGGUGCUGCUGACCGUGUUUGUUGGUGCGCCUGUCCCCCUGUCCCCAGUCAAGUUUGUGGUAGGUGCAAUUGCAGGUGCCAACACCUUGACUGGCAUUUCCUGUGGCCUUUUAGCCUCGGUGGACGCCUUGACCUUUGGCCAGUUCGCCGAGUACGGAGCCCGCUGGGAGACGGGGCUGGGCUGCCGGGCUACCGGCUUCCUGGCGGUACUGGGGUCGGAGGCCUCGGUGCUGCUGCUCACGCUGGCUGCGGUGCAGUGCAGCGUCUCUGUCUCCUGCGUCCGGGCCUACGGGAAGUCCCCCUCCCUCGGCAGCGUUCGAGCAGGGGCCCUGGGCUGCCUGACGCUGGCAGGGCUGGCCGCGGCUCUGCCCCUUGCCUCAGUGGGAGAAUACGGGGCCUCCCCGCUCUGCCUGCCCUAUGCCCCACCCGAGGGCCAGCCAGCCGCCCUGGGCUUCGCCGUGGCCCUGGUCAUGAUGAACUCCUUCUGCUUCCUGGUCGUGGCUGGUGCCUACAUCAAACUCUACUGUGACCUGCCGCGGGGAGACUUUGAGGCCGUGUGGGACUGCGCCAUGGUGAGGCACGUGGCCUGGCUCAUCUUCGCAGAUGGGCUUCUGUACUGUCCCGUGGCCUUCCUCAGCUUCGCCUCCAUGCUGGGCCUCUUCCCUGUCACUCCCGAGGCUGUCAAGUCUGUCCUGCUUGUGGUGCUGCCCCUGCCGGCCUGCCUCAAUCCACUGCUCUACCUGCUCUUCAACCCCCACUUCCGGGAUGAUCUCCGGCGGCUCUGGCCCCGCACAGGGGCCCCGGGGCCUCUAGCCUACGCUGCUGCCAGUGAGCUGGAGAAGAGCUCCUGUGACUCCACCCAGGCCCUGGUGGCCUUCUCUGAUGUGGAUCUCAUUCUGGAAGCUUCUGAGGCUGGGCAGCCCCCUGGGUUGGAGACCUAUGGCUUUCCCCCAGUGACCCUCAUCUCCUGUCAGCAGCCAGGGGCCACCAGGCUGGAGGGCAGUCAUUUUGUAGAGCCAGAGGGGACCCACUUUGGGAACCCACAACCCUCCAUGGAUGGAGAACUGCUGCUGAGGGCAGAGAGAGCCACGUGGGCCUGCGGGGGCUCGUCGGUGGGCGGGUGCUUCCGGCCCUCUGGCUCAGCCUUUGCCUCACACUUAUAAAUGUCCCUGCCCACUCUUCUCUUCCUAUUUCUUCCCUUCCCUCUCUCUUCACUCCUUGAAUGAUGGCUGCUUACAAAAUAAACAUAACCAAAACCCAGCAGUGUGAUCCAUAGCAGGAGGGCCCAGUCCUAGCUCCGUGGUCUCCUCCCUCCCGAGGCCAUCACCAGUGAGUGC